rnacentral:rRNA from 1 species
UACGUAGGGCGCAAGCGUUAUCCGGAAUUAUUGGGCGUAAAGAGCUCGUAGGCGGUUUUGUCGCGUCUGCCGUGAAAAGUCCGGGGCUCAACUCCGGAUCUGCGGUGGGUACGGGCAGACUAGAGUGAUGUAGGGGAGACUGGAAUUCCUGGUGUAGCGGUGAAAUGCGCAGAUAUCAGGAGGAACACCGAUGGCGAAGGCAGGUCUCUGGGCAUUUAACUGACGCUGAGGGCGCGAAAAGCGUGGGGGGAGCAAAACAGG